rnacentral:rRNA from 1 species
AUUGAACGCUGGCGGCAGGCCUAACACAUGCAAGUCGAGCGGAGCGGGGGACGGGUGAGUAAUGCCUAGGAAUCUGACUGGGCGUGGGGGAUAACGUCCGGCAACGGGCGCUAAUACCGCAUACUAUCAGAUGAGCCUAGGUCGGAUUAGCUAGUUGGUGGGGUAAGGGCCUACCAAGGCGACGAUCCGUAACUGGUCUGAGAGGAUGAUCAGUCACACUGGAACUGAGACACGGUCCAGACUCCUACGGGAGGCAGCAGUGGGGAAUAUUGGACAAUGGGCGAAAGCCUGAUGCAGCCAUGCCGCGUGUAUGAAGAAGGUCUUCGGGUUGUAAAGCACUUUAAGUUGGGAGGCGUUACCAACAGAAGAAGCACCGGCUAACUUCGUGCCAGCAGCCGCGGUAAUAC